rnacentral:lncRNA from 10 species
GGAAGAGCCCCUCACCAUCAACCUCCGCAAGUGCCUCUUAUGAUGAGGCGGCUGCGCGGCCAGCAGCAGCAAUUCCAGCCAGCUGCCACCACCGAUGCCCUCUUUCUUCUGUCUUCAGCUUGUACCUGAUCAUGUGAAAGGCUGUGGGUCAGACCUCUCUUCCAGCACACGCAUGACAGGGGUCUACAUGGGACCCCACUACCAGCCAGCCACUACUGAGCUAUCACGUGGCCUUGGCCAAGCCGCUGACCUCCUUUAGGGCUCAGUGGCCCCAUCUGUCAAAUGGACAUAUUAAUAGUUCUCAUCUUACAGAGUCGUUAUGAGGAUGACAUGAAGGAAUCCAUGUAAGAUACUUAGCUCAGUACCUGGAAUUUGCAUGUGUUCAAUAAAUG